GGAAGAAGGUGUGUCUUGCUCUUUGCAGGUUCAGCUUGCUGUUUGCAGCCGCCAUGAACUUCGGUCCAGCCAUGCCUGCCUGCUGGGAGCCAACUGAGUGUAGACUGAAACCUCCAAAAACUGCUGGCCUUGAACUACUAUUUACUUCAGACUAAUCUCAAAUUCGUGGCAAUCCUCCUGCCUCAGCCUUGUAAGUGCUGGAAUAACAGCUGCCGCCAAGGUCUCAUCUGAACUGUAUGAAAUACACGUGCCAGGAUCAGAGUUCUUCUGUUAAUGAGUGAUUAAGUCUGAAACACCCUGCUCUCUGUUGCUGACCUUUUUCAGGUGCUCCCUGGCUAAUUCCAAACUUUCAAAAGCAAAUUGUUUGCUCUUUGAUGAAAGGAAACGUCCCUUAGCAUCAGCACUUGCAGCCAGCCAGCAUCUUCCGUUCUCAGUAACGAGGGGCAAGGCAACCCUGCUGCUCCUACGGGCCACUUCGUGCCACAGACAAUUGUGAAGAAGCCACGCUUCUGUCCCCCCACUUGUGAGAUAAAAGAAGCCCCUGAGAGCCAGUCAGUGGGGGCAGUGGUCAGCAGGAACUCGGGAAAGCACAGGCUGCACACGUGUGGUCUGUGUGCAGGAAAAUGGGAGACAUGGAGCAGUUCAUCUACAGAGCAUCAAUAUGGAUCAAUACACCUCCACUGCCAGGUUGGGCUUUUUAGUUGUUGUCUGAUUUUUGCUGCUUUUUCCAUUUCUGUCAUUUGUAGAAGGAUAUAACCAACAACUAUUUAUUUCAUCGUAUGUUAAUCCUUUUUGGUGAUACUUAGCAUUGCAUACAGGGCCUUCCCACAGACCGAUACGCUGCUAAAUGGCUAAGCUGUCCAGGCGGGGCUCAAUCUUGCGAUUUUCUUUUCUCAGCACCCCAGAAUGCUGGUAUUACGGGUGUAGACCAUCACACCCAGCUCACUGACAUUUUUUUACUUAGCAGAAAACUCUUUUGGAAGUAAAAAGUUCAAAGGAAAAGGAAAAAACAAUAUAAAAUUCAUGUUUGUUUUCCAUUUUCCAAGACAAUUUAUGUCACUGGUUCAAAAUAUCUACCAACAUUUUCUAUUUCUAUUCUGUUUUUUAUUUAAGGGUAUUUUUGACUUGUUCUACUAGAGAAUGUUUCUAAAUACAGAAAAUUAAGAAUUUUUGUAAGUCUGUGAGGUGAUGAAUUUGUUAAUUAGUAUGAUUGUAGUAAGCAUUUCACAACACAUAUGUAUCUCAAAACACAGUAGUAUAAAUCUUAAAUACAGAUUUUUGUCAACUACUCAAUGAAAAGGGAAAAUAUAUCCCAUUAGAUGAUGUAUAAAGUGAAACAUUUAAAAUCAAGCCUAUUCUUAACAUUUUAUAUCUGUAAAUAUACAUACAUUUAUAAACAUGUAAGUGCUUCAUUUAUUUAAUGAAAAAAAAGUCUCAUGACAAAAUAAGAGAAUAAUAACUGUUAAUACAUUGUGUCAUUAUCUUCAAAGUAGUUAUUCAGCAUAAGACAUUGACAAAAAGAUUCUGUCUUACAAAGACAAAGCAGAUCCUAAUAUACAUAUUUGCACAUAUAAAUGCACAUUCAACUUUUUUUCACUGAUUUAUUAGCCAACGCAAUCUUCUGUUUCUGUAGGACUAUGCCAUUGCCCAUAAGCAUAGAUUUGUCAUAAAAAGCACUGUUAACAUGUAUCCACAUUUUUGAUACCUAUUUUUGAAGACAAUAGAGUAUAAUUAUUAAUAGUACCUAUUUUAUAAUGGUAUCAUGCAUACCGUAGAGAUCAUUCAGUAAUUUGAUUCUCUCUGCUCUGAAUUCUGUUCCACAAAUGUUUGAGACACGUACUUCUAAUUCAUUCUUUUUUGGCUUCUAUAUAUUAUUGCAUUGUAUAAUAAUGGCACAAUUUAGCUUUUCAUUCCAAAAAAAUGUUCUCAUUCUUUCAAGUAUUUCAUUCUUACAAGAAAUGUUGUUGUAUAUGUUCUUAAACACUGUAUAAAAGGUUCCCUGAUAUUUCCCAGUAAGUAGAACUGCCACGUCUUGGGAACCCCCAUAUUCACCUACCACCAGAUGCUGAGACUGUUCUACAAAGUGAUUUAGUCUUCUAAAACUGAGUUCCCAAUGAUCUACAUUUCUGAAAUUACUGAGUAUUCUCAUUUAUUAUUCUUAAUCCUAUGAUGUAAGAUCCUGUCUAUGAUAGCUAUUAUUUUAACUCCUAUCCACCUGAUUUUGUCAGGACUUUUUUAACUUUCAAAAUGGGUCAUUUAUUCAUAUAGAUUAUUUUUGUCACAGUUGUUUUGUUUUUUGUGUGUUUGUUUUUGUUUUUGAGACAAUCUCACUUUGUAGUGCAUGCUGGCCUUGAACUCACUAGGUGGUUCAUACUGACCUCAAACUCGUGGCAGUCCUCUUGCCUCCACUUUCUGAGUUCUGGGAUUAUAGACAUGCAUCAUUAUGCCCAGAUAUUCAUAAAGAUUCUUAAGAAUAUACAUCUUUGAUUGAAUUCGAUAUGGCCUUAUCCAUAUUUCUGCUUUCUCACUUAUAAAAUAAAGACAAUAUUGGU